CCUACGGGGGACAGCAGUAGGGAAUAUUGCUCAAUGGGGGAAACCCUGAAGCAGCAACGCCGCGUGGAGGAAGAAGGUUUUCGGAUUGUAAAGCCCUUUUGUCAGGGAAGAAAAUGACGGUACCUGACUAAUAAGCCCCGGCUAACUCCGUGCCAGCAGCCGCGGGAAUACGGAGGGUGCAAGCGUUAUCCGGAUUUACUGGGUGUAAAGGGAGCGUAGACGGCAGCGCAAGUCUGGAGUGAAAUCCCAUGGCUUAACCAUGGAACUGCUUUGGAAACUGUGCAGCUGGAGUGCAGGAGAGGUAGGCGGAAUGCCUAGUGUAGCGGUGAAAUGCGUAGAUAUUAGGAGGAACACCAGUGGCGAAGGCGGCUUACUGGACUGUAACUGACGUUGAGGCUCGAAAGCGUGGGGAGCAAACAGGAUUAGAUACCCUUGUAGUC
rnacentral:rRNA from 1 species